rnacentral:rRNA from 1 species
CAAUAGCGUAUAUUUAAGUUGCUGCAGUUAAAAAGCUCGUAGUUGGAUUUCGGGUGGGAAUGGCCGGUCCGCCGUUUCGGUGUGCACUUGCUACGCCCACCUUGCUGCCGGGGACGUGCUCUUGAGUUCACGCUCGGGACACGGAGUCGGCGAGGUUACUUUGAGUAAAUUAGAGUGUUCAAAGCAGGCCUACGCUCCGAAUACAUUAGCAUGGAAUAACACGAUAGGACUCUGGCCUAUCUUGUUGGUCUGUAGGACCGGAGUAAUGAUUAAGAGGGACAGUCGGGGGCAUUCGUAUUUCAUUGUCAGAGGUGAAAUUCUUGGAUUUAUGAAAGACGAACUACUGCGAAAGCAUUUGCCAAGGAUGUUUUCAUUAA